rnacentral:rRNA from 1 species
UCGGGGUACUCGAGUGGCGAACGGGUGAGUAACACGUGGGUGAUCUGCCCUGCACUUUGGGAUAAGCCUGGGAAACUGGGUCUAGGAUACCGAAUAGGACCACGCGCGUUCAUGGUGUGUGGUGGAAAGCUUGAAAGUUUCGGUGUGGGAUGGGCCCGCGGCCUAUCAGCUUGUUGGUGGGGUAAUGGCCUACCAAGGCGACGACGGGUAGCCGGCCUGAGAGGGUGACCGGCCACACUGGGACUGAGAUACGGCCCAGACUCCUACGGGAGGCAGCAGUGGGGAAUAUUGCACAAUGGGCGCAAGCCUGAUGCAGCGACGCCGCGUGAGGGAUGACGGCCUUCGGGUUGUAAACCUCUUUCAAUAGGGACGAAGCGCAAGUGACGGUACCUAUAGAAGAAGCACCGGCCAACUACGUGCCAGCAGCCGCGGUAAUACGUAGGGUGCGAGCGUUGUCCGGAAUUACUGGGCGUAAAGAGCUCGUAGGUGGUUUGUCGCGUUGUUCGUGAAAACUCACAGCUUAACUGUGGGCGUGCGGGCGAUACGGGCAGACUAGAGUACUGCAGGGGAGACUGGAAUUCCUGGUGUAGCGGUGGAAUGCGCAGAUAUCAGGAGGAACACCGGUGGCGAAGGCGGGUCUCUGGGCAGUAACUGACGCUGAGGAGCGAAAGCGUGGGGAGCGAACAGGAUUAGAUACCCUGGUAGUCCACGCCGUAAACGGUGGGUACUAGGUGUGGGUUCCUUCCUUGGGAUCCGUGCCGUAGCUAACGCAUUAAGUACCCCGCCUGGGGAGUACGGCCGCAAGGCUAAAACUCAAAGGAAUUGACGGGGGCCCGCACAAGCGGCGGAGCAUGUGGAUUAAUUCGAUGCAACGCGAAGAACCUUACCUGGGUUUGACAUGCACAGGACGCCGGCAGAGAUGUCGGUUCCCUUGUGGCCUGUGUGCAGGUGGUGCAUGGCUGUCGUCAGCUCGUGUCGUGAGAUGUUGGGUUAAGUCCCGCAACGAGCGCAACCCUUGUCCUAUGUUGCCAGCGGGUUAUGCCGGGGACUCGUAGGAGACUGCCGGGGUCAACUCGGAGGAAGGUGGGGAUGACGUCAAGUCAUCAUGCCCCUUAUGUCCAGGGCUUCACACAUGCUACAAUGGCCGGUACAAAGGGCUGCGAUGCCGUGAGGUGGAGCGAAUCCUUUCAAAGCCGGUCUCAGUUCGGAUCGGGGUCUGCAACUCGACCCCGUGAAGUCGGAGUCGCUAGUAAUCGCAGAUCAGCAACGCUGCGGUGAAUACGUUCCCGGGCCUUGUACACACCGCCCGUCACGUCAUGAAAGUCGGUAACACCCGAAGCCG